rnacentral:tRNA from 1 species
GGGAGGGACUGUGGCUCAGUGGUAAAGCAUCUGCUUGGCAUGUCAGUUGACCCUGGUUCAAUACCACACUUCUCCCG